rnacentral:rRNA from 1 species
CCUCCGGGUGGCAGCAGUGAGGCAUAUUGGUCAAUGGGCGGGAGCCUGCACCCGCCAAGCCGCGUGAGGGAAGCAGGUACAGCGUAUCGUAAACCUCUUUUGUCAGGGAACAAAGGCGGGGACUAGUCCCCGGAUGAGGGUACCUGAAGAAAAAGCAUCGGCUAACUCCGUGCCAGCAGCCGCGGUAAUACGGAGGAUGCGAGCGUUAUCCUGAUUUAUUGGGUUUAAAGGGUGCGCCGGCGGCCUGUUAAGUCAGCGGUACACGCCCGGGGCUCAACCCCGGCGAGCCGUUGACACUGGCGGGCUGGAGUUGGAGAGAAGUACGCGGAAUGAGCGGUGUAGCGGUGAAAUGCUUAGAUAUCGCGCAGAACCCCGAUUGCGAAGGCAGCGUACCGGCUCCACACUGACGCUGAGGCACGAAAGCGUGGGUAUCGAACAGGAUUAGAUACCCGUGUAGUC